rnacentral:rRNA from 1 species
GAAUCUUGGGCAACGGGCGAAAGACUGAUCCAGCAAUGCCGCGUGCAGGAUGAAGGCCUUCGGGUUGUAAACUGCUUUUGUACGGAAAGCAAAGCUUUGGGUUAAUAUCCUGGAGUCAUGAUCGUCCCGUAAGAAUAAGCACCGGCUAACUACGUGCCAGCAGCCGCGGUACUACGUAGGGUGCAAGCGUUACUCGGAAUUACUGGGCGUAAAGCGUGCGCAGGCGGUUUUGUAAGACAGAGGUGAAGUCCCCGGGCUCAACCUGGGAACUGCCUUUGUGACUGCAAGGCUAGAGUACGGCAGAGGGGGGUGGAAUUCCGCGUGUAGCAGUGAAAUGCGUAGAUAUGCGGAGGAACACCGAUGGCGAAGGCAACCCCCUGGGCCUGUACUGACGCUCAUGCACGAAAGCGUGGGGAGCAAACA